GUGCAAACUCGAUCACUAACUCUGCAUGAUGUUGCAGAAGUGAGGGGAACUAGGUUUGCUAAUGUAAUUGUGGUGACAGAGCAUCAGCCCACAGACUGAUGAGCUGUGGAUUCAAUUCCGGUCAAGGGCACGU